AUUGAACGCUGGCGGCAUGCCUAACACAUGCAAGUCGAACGAGUGGCGGACGGGUGAGUAAUGUCUGGGAAACUGCCUGAUGGAGGGGGAUAACUACUGGAAAAGGUCUCUAAUACCGCAUACCAUCAGAUUUGCCCAGUUGGGAUUGGCUGGUUGGGGGGUUAACGGCUCACAAAGGCGGCGAUACCUAGCUGGUCUGAGAGGAUGACCGCCAACACGGGAAUUGAGAAACGGCCCAGACUCCUACGGGAGGAAGCAGUGGGGAACAUUGGCAAAUGGGCGCAAGCCGGAUGCAGCCAGGCCGCGUGUAUGAAGAGGGCCUUGGGUUUGUAAAGUACUUUCAGCGGGGAGGCGUUACCCGCAGAAGAAGCACCGGCUAACUCCGUGCCAGCAGCCGCGGUAAUAC
rnacentral:rRNA from 1 species